rnacentral:rRNA from 1 species
UUGCCUCAGUAACGGCGAGUGAAGCGGCAAUAGCUCAAAUUUGAAAUCUGGCAUCCGCCCGAAUUGUAAUUUGUAGAGGAUGCUUCGGCUUAUGUCUCGGUCUAAGUUCCUUGGAACAGGACGUCACAGAGGGUGAGAAUCCCGUUUGUGGCCGUGACUUCCGCCAUGUGAAGCUCCUUCGACGAGUCGAGUUGUUUGGGAAUGCAGCUCUAAAUGGGAGGUAUGUUUCUUCUAAAGCUAAAUACCGGCCAGAGACCGAUAGCGCACAAGUAGAGUGAUCGAAAGAUGAAAAGCACUUUGGAAAGAGAGUUAAAAAGUACGUGAAAUUGUUGAAAGGGAAGCGCUUGCAACCAGACUUGCUCGUAGUUGCUCAACCGGUCCUCCGGCCGGUGCACUCUUCUACGGUCAGGCCAGCAUCAGUUCGGGUGGUUGGAGAAAGGCCUUGAGAAUGUGGCUCUCUUCGGGGAGUGUUAUAGCUCUUGGUGUCAUACAGCCUGCCUGGACUGAGGUCCGCGCUUCGGCUAGGAUGCUGGCGUAAUGGUUGUAAGCGGCCCGUCUUGAAACACGGACCAAGGAGUCUAACAUCUAUGCGAGUGUUUGGGUGUCAAACCCGUGCGCGUAAUGAAAGUGAACGGAGGUGGGACCAUUUUGUGCACCAUCGACCGAUCCUGAUGUCUUCGGAUGGAUUUGAGUAAGAGCAUAGCUGUUGGGACCCGAAAGAUGGUGAACUAUGCCUGAAUAGGGUGAAGCCAGAGGAAACUCUGGUGGAGGCUCGCAGCGGUUCUGACGUGCAAAUCGAUCGUCAAAUUUGGGUAUAGGGGCGAAAGACUAAUCGAACCAUUGGUUGUUUACGCUACUAGGUGGUUAAGAGGCGGCUCAAAGUGCCGGCCUAGUCCCUCCAUUCGGGGCGACACCGUCAAAUUGCGGGGACGUUCUUAGAGCCUGAACUACCGCGGCCCGCCGAAAGGCUGGGUGCAGCACCAGGGUAAUGACCUAGGGGAUGGUAAUAACGUUCAGGAUUGGAUAAUCCGCAGCCAAGUCCUACGUCGCCGCGGCGUGCGGGGUGAUAUGGAUGCAGUUCACAGACUAGAUGUCGGUGGGUGUGGCCUUUUCCAUGAAAGAAGUGGGGAGGCCAUGCUUAAGGUAUAGUCGAUCCCCCGCGGAGACGCGGGCGGCAGGCCAAAGUUUUCCAGGCGGAUGGGCCCUGAUUGUAGUAGGGCGCUUGGUGAACCCGAAGCCUGUCGGGAGAGGGAUGAUUAGGAGAGGGGGGUGGUAAAAGCAUCAGCAUCCUGUAAAAUGGGGUGCCUGUUCUGUCCCCCC